rnacentral:rRNA from 1 species
GACGAACGCUGGCGGCGCGCCUAACACAUGCAAGUCGAACGAGCGAGAGAGAGCUUGCUUUCUUGAGCGAGUGGCGAACGGGUGGGUAACGCGUGAGGAACCUGCCUCAAAGAGGGGGACAACAGUUGGAAACGACUGCUAAUACCGCAUAAGCCCACGGUGCCGCAUGGCACAGAGGGAAAAGGAGCAAUCCGCUUUGAGAUGGCCUCGCGUCCGAUUAGCUAGUUGGUGAGGUAACGGCCCACCAAGGCGACGAUCGGUAGCCGGACUGAGAGGUUGAACGGCCACAUUGGGACUGAGACACGGCCCAGACUCCUACGGGAGGCAGCAGUGGGGAAUAUUGCACAAUGGGGGAAACCCUGAUGCAGCGACGCCGCGUGGAGGAAGAAGGUCUUCGGAUUGUAAACUCCUGUUGUUGGGGAAGAUAAUGACGGUACCCAACAAGGAAGUGACGGCUAACUACGUG